CGGGUGAGUAAUGCGUGACCAACCUCGCCCCAUGCUCCAGAAUAGCUCUUGGAAACGGGUGGUAAUGCUGGAUGCUCCAACUUGACGCAUGUCUUGUUGGGAAAGUGUUUAGUGGCAUGGGAUGGGGUCGCGUCCUAUCAGCUUGUAGGCGGGGUAAUGGCCCACCUAGGCUUCGACGGGUAGCCGGCCUGAGAGGGCGGACGGCCACAUUGGGACUGAGAUACGGCCCAGACUCCUACGGGAGGCAGCAGAC
rnacentral:rRNA from 1 species